GCAGUGGUGGUUCAGUGGUAGAAUUCUCACCUUCUAUUUGGGAUAACUGGGUUCAGUUCCUGGCCAACGCA
rnacentral:tRNA from 1 species